rnacentral:ribozyme from 1 species
UGCCCAGCAACUCCAAUUCCUACCUCGUCGUGGUACUGGCCGGGGUACGAGCAACCUUAGGGAAGAUCGGGUAACCAACCCUGAUGGGAACUUUGGUCAUAUGCUGACAGAGAAGG